AGCAGCCGCGGUAAUUCCAGCUCCAAUAGCGUAUAUUAAAGUUGUUGCAGUUAAAAAGCUCGUAGUUGAACUUCAGGCCUGUCCAGAUGGUCCGCCUUAAUUGGUGUGUACUGUCCUUGGGUGGGUCCUACCUUCUGGCGAAGCGGCAUGGCCUUAGUUGGUUGUGUCGGGGAACCAGGACUUUUACUGUGAAAAAUUAGAGUGUUCAAAGCAGGCAUAUAUGCUCGAAUACAUUAGCAUGGAAUAAUGGAAUAGGACGAUGGUUCUAUUUUGUUGGUUCUAGGACCGUUGUAAUGAUUAAUAGGGAUAGUUGGGGGCAUUAGUAUUCAAUUGUCAGAGGUGAAAUUCUUGGAUUUAUUGAAGACUAACUACUGCGAAAGCAUUUGCCAAGGAUGUUUUCAUUAAUCAAGAACGAAAGUUAGGGGAUCGAAGACGAUCAGAUACCGUCGUAGUCUUAACCAUAAAACUAUGCCGACUAGGAAUCGGGCGAUGUUGACAAAAUGACUCGCUC
rnacentral:rRNA from 1 species